rnacentral:lncRNA from 1 species
UCAGAUGGCAAGGCAUCCAGCGCAGGAGACUGGGGUUUGAUCCUGGGUGGGAAGAUCCCCCCAGAGAAGGAAAUGGCAACCCACUCCCAGUAUCCUCGCCUGGGAAAUGCCACGGACAGAGGAGCCUGAUGGGCCACAGUCCAUGGGUUGUAUCAAAGUUGGGCUCAACCCAGCAACUACGAACACAAGUAUUUCCAAAGACCACACUCAAGUGUGUGUGUGUGUGCGUGUGUGUGUGUGUGUGUAUCUCCUCUUGCCGUCUUGGAGUCUGUCUCGGAAUCUUCAUGUAUUUCUGCCUCUGUAUCUCCUGACAGCCAGCCGCCGGCCCAUUCGUCUGGCCCCGGCCUCUCCCAGGCGCUCUGGCUCUGGCUGAGGAGCUUGCAUGAGCCAGCUGUCUCCCUUGGCGUGGGUGCGUGCGAGUGUCUGUGUGUCUGUCUGUGUGCCUGCCUGUGGCUCGUCUGCUCUCUCAGGAAGGUCGAGGGCUUGGCGUGGGGGCAAAGGGGGGCCUCGGUAGUGCGAAGGGGAGGGGCUGAGGCGCUCCGGUCGACCGCGCCUCCCUGGCUUCUGGUGGGUUUGGGCACCGGACAGGUGCCGGGCAAGUUGGGCGCUCAAGUUUCGCUGCGCCUAGGCCCGCAGGAGGUUCAGAGGCCCCUGGGCCGCGGGGGUUGGGAGGCGGCGGGCGCCGAAGACCGACACGUCCGGGGCCGCGCGGGCCUGAGCAGCGAAUGGGAUCCGGGGGAGGCCCCGCUCAGCGGCGGCGGGUCUGGAGUGGCCGCGGGUGGGAGGCGCCGAGACCUCCGCACCCUCAGCCCAGCCCCAGGCCCCGCGCGCGCAUGCACGCACGCCCUCCCGGUCAAUGGGGCGUCCUGGAAGCCCCUCGGGCCCCGGGCCCGGCCAGGCGCUUGCUGGUCUGGUGUUGGCGGUGUUCGGGGGGCGGGCCGGCGUCAGCAGGCUGGAGUCCGGUCGCGGGUCGUGCGGCUCAAGUACAGCACGCCCCGUGACGAGAGGUGCGGCCCGUUGGCCCGACCUGCAGGGCAGAGCGAAAGGGAGGCGAAGCGCAAGGCUCUUAGGGCGCCCCGAGCCCACCGCCACCGUCUCAGGCCGUAUCAGCCUGAAGGCGCCCGAUCUCGUCUGAUCUCGGAAGCUAAGCAGGGUCGGGCCUGGUUAGUAUCUUGGAUGGGAGACCACCUGGGAAUCCCGGGCGCUCGAGGCUUUUUGCCUACCAGAAGAGGUCCUUUAGCCCCCGCCGCGCGUCCCGAUUCUUGGAUCCCCCCCGCAGCCCCAGCCCCUCCCGGGCCGCGGGGAGCGGCUGGCCUGGCCGGGGCCCCGACUCCCGCUGCAGACCUGGGUUGCCUCCGCGCGGCCCGCGAGCCCCUCCGCAUUCGCAUUCGGCUUCCAGGACACCCGACGACCGGCAGUCCCGUCUCCAUCUGGGGCUCCUUUGGCUUGCCUCAGGCAAUCCCGGGGCUUGCACCGACUCCAGCCAGAGCCCCAGCCCCCGCCCCACCCCCUGCCUCGCAGGCCAUCGCGCAUGCGCAUGUGCGCACGCACGCACAGAUAGAUGUGCCCAAACGGGGCAUCUAUCUUGUUCACUUAUACCGUGGGUGGAUCUAUGCCUGGGAGUCGGACUGCUGGACCAUAGGCUACUUCCACUUUUAGUUCCUUCGGGAACCUCCAUAUUCUUUUCCAUACCGGCUCUCCCCACGCCCAUUCCUACUCACCGUGGAGGAGAGUCCCCUUUGCUCCACAUCUUCUCCAGCAUUGGUUAUUGACAGACAUCGCAGUGAGGCCCAAUCGGACUCAUGUGAAGUGGUCCCUCCUUGGAGUUUGGAGUUGAGCCUCUCCAAUCAUUAGUGAUGUGGAGCAAGAUGACCUUUUGGAAAUGCAGAUGCAAUGCUGUCACCUCCCUGCUCCAACGGCUCUCGUAUUUUCCCAGCAUAUUGAAGAUACGACCACCUCCCUUCAGGCUUGCUCCUCACGUUCUUCUCUGAUGUCUUUUGCCUGGAAUGCCCUCUGCACUCUUUGGCUUCCAUCCCAUAGGGCAUUUUUCGUUUCUUGAAUGUCCUAAGUGUUCCUGGUCACAUAGCCUUCCAAGAUGCUAUUUUCCCGGCCUGAAAUUCUUCCUGCAUCUCAACCCUGGUUUACCUAGGUUCAACCUAUGGACCUCAACGAAAUGGUUCCUCUGGAGAGCCUUCCCUGACACCCAGGUUUUGUGGUGAGGGAAGAGGCCCCUCUAUAGGUUCUCAAAGGAUCUGCCUGUGAUGUAUCAUUAGAGUCGUCUCAGUGAAAGCAGGAACUCUGUGUCUUCUUCUCUCUGCCUUCUAUUCGUGAAACUUAUUACAUGCCUCCUAGCUCAUCGUAGGUGCUCAGUAUUUACUUAGUGUGUGAAAGACAGAAAAGCUCUUGGAAGCCUCAAGGGGUCACUUGGCUCGGCACUUUGAUCUCUUUGUAUAUUUGGCGAUUCAAUUCUUUCCUUUCCUGGGUUGAUGUGUACACUAUAUUCGAGGCACAAUCUAAGGCAUGAAGACAUAUCCAUACAUAGAGGUUCUUGCUUUCAAGGAACUCGUACAGCAGGUUUCUAUGUUAGGCUUUUCAAAUGCUCUAGAAGAAUGUGAACGUUCAGUAUGCUCCAUUUUCAUUUCAAAGAAAGAUCGUUUGACUUCCAUAGCAAAGGUGGAGACCUUCCAACGUUGAGUCCAAUACUUAUACCUUGACCAUUUCAGGCAAGUCUUGUGGUUCCUUCUGGAGGUGUGCGGCUCUUGCAGAAAUGUGAAGAUCUUCCAUCGCGGCGAGAGUGCGGCCCGUUGGCCCGACCUGCAGGGCAGAGCGAAAGGGAGGCGAAGCGCAAGGCUCUUAGGGCGCCCCGAGCCCACCGCCACCGUCUCAGGCCGUAUCAGCCUGAAGGCGCCCGAUCUCGUCUGAUCUCGGAAGCUAAGCAGGGUCGGGCCUGGUUAGUAUCUUGGAUGGGAGACCACCUGGGAAUCCCGGGUGCUCGAGGCUUUUUGCCUACCAGAAGAGGUCCUUUAGCCCCCGCCGCGCGUCCCGAUUCUUGGAUCCCCCCCGCAGCCCCAGCCCCUCCGGGCCGCGGGGAGGCGGCUGGCGGGGCCCGACUCCCGCUGCAGACCUGGGUUGCCUCCGCGCGGCCCGCGAGCCCCUCCGCAUUCGCAUUCGGCUUCCAGGACACCCGACGACCGGCAGUCCCGUCUCCAUCUGGGGCUCCUUUGGCUUGCCUCAGGCAAUCCCGGGCUUGCACCGACUCCAGCCAGAGCCCCAGCCCCCGCCCCACCCCCUGCCUCGCAGGCGAUCGCGCAUGCGCGUGUCUGCCGCCGCAGAUAGAUGUGCCCAAACGGGGCAUCUAUCUUGUUCACUUAUACCGUGGGUGGAUCUAUGCCUGGGAGUCGGACUGCUGGACCAUAGGCUACUUCCACUUUUAGUUCCUUCGGGAACCUCCAUAUUCUUUUCCAUACCGGCUCUCCCCACGCCCAUUCCUACUCACCGUGGAGGAGAGUCCCCUUUGCUCCACAUCUUCUCCAGCAUUGGUUAUUGACAGACAUCGCAGUGAGGCCCAAUCGGACUCAUGUGAAGUGGUCCCUCCUUGGGUUUGGAGUUGAGCCUCUCCAAUCAUUAGUGAUGUGGAGCAAGAUGACCUUUUGGAAAUGCAGAUGCAAUGCUGUCACCUCCUGCUCCAACGGCUCUCGUAUUUUCCCAGCAUAUUGAAGAUACGACCACCUCCCUUCAGGCUUGCUCCUCACGUUCUUCUCUGAUGUCUUUUGCCUGGAAUGCCCUCUGCACUCUUUGGCUUCCAUCCCAUAGGGCAUUUUUCGUUUCUUGAAUGUCCUAAGUUUCCCUGGUCACAUAGCCUUCCAAGAUGCUAUUUUCCUGCCUGAAAUUCUUCCUGCAUCUCAACCCUGGUUUACCUAGGUUCAACCUAUGGACCUCAACGAAAUGGUGCCUCUGGAAGCCUUCCCUGACACCCAGGUUUUGUGGUGAGGGAAGAGGCCCUCUAUAGGUUCUCAAAGGAUCUGCCUGUGAUGUAUCAUUAGAGUCGUCUCAGUGAAAGCAGGAACUCUGUGUCUUCUUCUCUCCGCCUUCUAUUCCCUGAAACUUAUUACAUGCCUCCUAGCUCAUCGUAGGUGCUCAGUAUUUACUUAGUGUGUGAAAGACAGAAAAGCUCUUGGAAGCCUCAAGGGGUCACUUGGCUCGGCACUUUUGAUCUCUUUGUAUAUUUGGCGAUUCAAUUCUUUCCUUUCCUGGGUUGAUGUGUACACUAUAUUCGAGGCACAAUCUAAGGCAUGAAGACAUAUCCAUACAUAGAGGUCUUGCUUUCAAGGAACUCGUACAGCAGAUUUCUACAAGUUAGGGCUUUUCAAAUGCUCUAGAAGAAUGUGAACGUUCAGUAUGCUCCAUUUUCAUUUCAAAGAAAGAUCGUUUGACUUCCAUAGCAAAGGUGGAGACCUUCCAACGUUGAGUCCAAUACUUAUACCUUGACCAUUUCAGGCAAGUCUUGUGGUUCCUUCUGGAGGUGUGUGGCUCUUGCAGAAAUGUGAAGAUCUUCCAUCGUCCUCAGACUUUGGUGUCAUUUGCAAUCAUCCAGAAAGCUUCCAGGUCUAGGUUCCAGACCACCACCACACACAGUCAGUAGCCAACGGAGUGGAUUCCAGGAAUACGCAUUGUUCACCGGCAUUACCGUUGAUAUUGUUGCUGCACACUCAAUGCAGUGGGCAGGGCCUGGAUUGUCCACUGGGUCUCAUGUGGAAUGGAAAGAAGGGCUCCCCCCCCACACACACACACCCCACCCCACUGUUGACAGCCUUGUGACGAGAAACGGUCCCCGAAACAAGAAUCAGACAAACCAGAGAAGCCCAGAUGAUAGUCCUUGAGAUGAAGGAACUAAGCAGCUGGUUGAGAUGGCACCAAGGGGAAAGGUUGCCCUUUUGGUCUGCCCCUCUACUCCUUUCUUCCUGGACGCCUUAGGGUUUUGUCAUGGAGAUUUGAAAGAAAGUGCACAAAAGUCAUAUGUGUUGAAUCAAGAUUUUGCAUUUAACCAUCUCUCAAAAAGGAAGAGAGCUUCACCUGCACAUGUUUCUUUCAAAAACGUCAAUUGCUUUUCAAUUCUGGGGUUUCUCUCUUGCCUUGUUCACUUAGCCUUAACAGUAAAAUCACGAAAACUACAUAAAGAUUCAAAGAUACCAACAAAGGACAGCUUCUGUUUUUGAAAUCAUCUUUCCAUUUAGUAGAACACGAGCUCUAUUCUUUGUAUUUUGCCUAGGGAAUGAGCAAUGUCCUGGUUCAGAUGGCAAGGCAUCCGCGCGCAGGAGACUGGGGUUUGAUCCCUGGGUGGGGAAGAUCCCGCCGGAGAAGGAAAUGGCAACCCACUCCAGUAUCCUCGCCUGGGAAAUGCCACGGACAGAGGAGCCUGAUGGGCCGCAGUCCAUGGGUUGUAUUAAAGUUGGGCUCAACCCAGCAACUACGAACACAAGUAUUUCCAAAGACCACACUCAAGUGUGUGUGUGUGUGUGUGUGUGUGUGUGUGUGUAUCUCCUCUUGCCGUCUUGGAGUCUGUCUCGGAAUCUUCAUGUAUUUCUGCCUCUGUAUCUCCUGACAGCCAGCCGCCGGCCCGUUCGUCUGGCCCCGGCCUCUCCCAGGCGCUCUGGCUCUGGCUGAGGAGCUUGCGCAGGCCAGCUGUCUCCCUUGGCGUGGGUGCGUGCGAGUGUCUGUGUGUCUGUCUGUGUGCCUGCCUGUGGCUCGUCUGCUCUCUCAGGAAGGUCGAGGGCUUGGCGUGGGGGCAAAGGGGGGGCCUCGGUAGUGCGAAGGGGAGGGGCUGAGGCGCUCCGGUCGACCGCGCCUCCCUGGCUUCUGGUGGGUUUGGGCACCGGACAGGUGCCGGGCAAGUUGGGCGCUCAAGUUUCGCUGCGCCUAGGCCCGCAGGAGGUUCAGAGGCCCCUGGGCCGCGGGGGUUGGGAGGCGGCGGGCGCCGAAGACCGACACGUCCGGGGC